GGGUUGUGAGGUUAAGCGACUAAGCGUACACGGUGGAUGCCCUGGCAGUCAGAGGCGAUGAAGGACGUGCUAAUCUGCGAAAAGCGUCGGUAAGGUGAUAUGAACCGUUAUAGCCGGCGAUGUCCGAAUGGGGAAACCCAGUGCAAUUCGUUGCACUAUCGUUAACUGAAUACAUAGGUUAACGAGGCGAACCGGGGGAACUGAAACAUCUAAGUACCCCGAGGAAAAGAAAUCAACCGAGAUUCCCCCAGUAGCGGCGAGCGAACGGGGAGCAGCCCAGAGUCUGAAUCAGCUUGUGUGUUAGUGGAACGGUCUGGAAAGUCCGACGGUACAGGGUGAUAGUCCCGUACACCAAAAUGCACAGGUUGUGAACUCGAAGAGUAGGGCGGGACACGUGGUAUCCUGUCUGAAUAUGGGGGGACCAUCCUCCAAGGCUAAAUACUCCUGACUGACCGAUAGUGAACCAGUACCGUGAGGGAAAGGCGAAAAGAACCCCGGCGAGGGGAGUGAAAAAGAACCUGAAACCGUGUACGUACAAGCAGUGGGAGCACCUUUAUGGUGUGACUGCGUACCUUUUGUAUAAUGGGUCAGCGACUUAUAUUCUGUAGCAAGGUUAACCGUAUAGGGGAGCCGCAGGGAAACCGAGUCUUAACUGGGCGUUAAGUUGCAGGGUAUAGACCCGAAACCCGGUGAUCUAGCCAUGGGCAGGUUGAAGGUUGGGUAACACUAACUGGAGGACCGAACCGACUAAUGUUGAAAAAUUAGCGGAUGACUUGUGGCUGGGGGUGAAAGGCCAAUCAAACCGGGAGAUAGCUGGUUCUCCCCGAAAGCUAUUUAGGUAGCGCCUCGUGAACUCAUCUUCGGGGGUAGAGCACUGUUUCGGCUAGGGGGUCAUCCCGACUUACCAACCCGAUGCAAACUACGAAUACCGAAGAAUGUUAUCACGGGAGACACACGGCGGGUGCUAACGUCCGUCGUGAAGAGGGAAACAACCCAGACCGCCAGCUAAGGUCCCAAAGUCAUGGUUAAGUGGGAAACGAUGUGGGAAGGCACAGACAGCCAGGAUGUUGGCUUAGAAGCAGCCAUCAUUUAAAGAAAGCGUAAUAGCUCACUGGUCGAGUCGGCCUGCGCGGAAGAUGUAACGGGGCUAAACCAUGCACCGAAGCUGCGGCAGCGACACGAUGUGUUGUUGGGUAGGGGAGCGUUCUGUAAGCCUGCGAAGGUGACCUGUGAGGGUUGCUGGAGGUAUCAGAAGUGCGAAUGCUGACAUAAGUAACGAUAAAGCGGGUGAAAAGCCCGCUCGCCGGAAGACCAAGGGUUCCUGUCCAACGUUAAUCGGGGCAGGGUGAGUCGACCCCUAAGGCGAGGCCGAAAGGCGUAGUCGAUGGGAAACAGGUUAAUAUUCCUGUACUUGGUGUUACUGCGAAGGGGGGACGGAGAAGGCUAUGUUAGCCGGGCGACGGUUGUCCCGGUUUAAGCAUGUAGGCUGGUUAUCCAGGCAAAUCCGGAUAAUCAAGGCUGAGGUGUGAUGACGAGGUACUACGGUGCUGAAGUAACAAAUGCCCUGCUUCCAGGAAAAGCCUCUAAGCAUCAGGUAACAUCAAAUCGUACCCCAAACCGACACAGGUGGUCAGGUAGAGAAUACCAAGGCGCUUGAGAGAACUCGGGUGAAGGAACUAGGCAAAAUGGUGCCGUAACUUCGGGAGAAGGCACGCUGGUGUGUAGGUGAAGUCCCUGCGGAUGGAGCUGAGACCAGUCGAAGAUACCAGCUGGCUGCAACUGUUUAUUAAAAACACAGCACUGUGCAAACACGAAAGUGGACGUAUACGGUGUGACGCCUGCCCGGUGCCGGAAGGUUAAUUGAUGGGGUUAUCCGUAAGGAGAAGCUCUUGAUCGAAGCCCCGGUAAACGGCGGCCGUAACUAUAACGGUCCUAAGGUAGCGAAAUUCCUUGUCGGGUAAGUUCCGACCUGCACGAAUGGCGUAAUGAUGGCCAGGCUGUCUCCACCCGAGACUCAGUGAAAUUGAACUCGCUGUGAAGAUGCAGUGUACCCGCGGCAAGACGGAAAGACCCCGUGAACCUUUACUAUAGCUUGACACUGAACAUUGAGCCUUGAUGUGUAGGAUAGGUGGGAGGCUUUGAAGCGUGGACGCCAGUCUGCGUGGAGCCAACCUUGAAAUACCACCCUUUAAUGUUUGAUGUUCUAACGUGGGCCCCUGACCGGGGUUGCGGACAGUGUCUGGUGGGUAGUUUGACUGGGGCGGUCUCCUCCCAAAGCGUAACGGAGGAGCACGAAGGUUAGCUAAUCCUGGUCGGACAUCAGGAGGUUAGUGCAAUGGCAUAAGCUAGCUUGACUGCGAGCGUGACGGCGCGAGCAGGUGCGAAAGCAGGUCAUAGUGAUCCGGUGGUUCUGAAUGGAAGGGCCAUCGCUCAACGGAUAAAAGGUACUCCGGGGAUAACAGGCUGAUACCGCCCAAGAGUUCAUAUCGACGGCGGUGUUUGGCACCUCGAUGUCGGCUCAUCACAUCCUGGGGCUGAAGUAGGUCCCAAGGGUAUGGCUGUUCGCCAUUUAAAGUGGUACGCGAGCUGGGUUUAGAACGUCGUGAGACAGUUCGGUCCCUAUCUGCCGUGGGCGCUGGAGAAUUGAGGGGGGCUGCUCCUAGUACGAGAGGACCGGAGUGGACGCAUCACUGGUGUUCGGGUUGUCAUGCCAAUGGCACUGCCCGGUAGCUAAAUGCGGAAGAGAUAAGUGCUGAAAGCAUCUAAGCACGAAACUUGCCCCGAGAUGAGUUCUCCCUGAGACUUUAAGUCUCCUGAAGGAACGUUGAAGACGACGACGUUGAUAGGCCGGGUGUGUAAGCGCAGCGAUGCGUUGAGCUAACCGGUACUAAUGAACCGUGAGGCUUAACCUUACAACGCCGAAG
rnacentral:rRNA from 1 species